AUAAAUAUAAUCUCAUUUAUAUAAUGAGGUUGUAAAUAUGUAUAUUUACAUAUGAAAAUGAGAAAUACUAGGUUUUAAUUCUUGUAAAUAUAAUCUCAUUUGUAUAAUGAGGUUUUAAAUAUGUAUAUUUACAUAUGAAAAUGAGAAAUACUAGGUUUUAAUUCUUGUAAAUAUAAUCUCAUUUAUAUAAUGAGGUUGUCAUAUGCAUAUUCACAUAUGAAAAUGAGAAAUAGUAGGUUUUAAUUCUUGUAAAUAUAAUCUCAUUUAUAUAAUGAGGUUGUAAAUAUUUAUAUUUACAUAUGAAAAUGAAAAAUACUAGGUUUUAAUUCUUCUAAAUAUAUUCUUGUAAAUAUAAUCUCAUUUAUAUAAUGAGGUUGUCAUAUGCAUAUUAACAUAUGAAAAUGAGAAAGACUAGGUUUUAAUUCUUGUAAAUAUAAUCUCAUUUAUAUAAUGAGGUUGUCAUAUGCAAAUUAACAUAUCAAAAUGAGAAAUACUAGGUUUUAAUUCUUGUAAAUAUAAUCUCAUUUAUAUAAGGAGGUUGUCAUAUGCAUAUUAACAUAUGAAAAUGAGAAAGACUAGGUUUUAAUUCUUGUAAAUAUAUUCCCAUUUAUAUAAUGAGGUUGUAAAUAUGUAUAUUAACAUAUGAAAAUGAGAAAUACUAGGUUUUAAUUCUUGUAAAUAUAAUCUCAUUUAUAUAAUGAGGUUGUCAUAUGCAUAUUAACAUAUGAAAAUAAGAAAGACUAGGUUUUAAUUCUUGUAAAUAAUCUCAUUUAUAUAAUGAGUUUGUCAUAUGCAUAUUAACAUUUGAAAAUGAGAAAAACUAGUUUUAAUUCUUGUAAAUAUAAUCUCAUUUAUAUAAUGAGGUUGUAAUAUGUAUAUUACAUAUGAAAAUGAGAAUACUAGGUUUUAAUUCUUGUAAUAAUAAUCUUUAUAUAAAUGAGGUUGUAAUAGUAUAUUUACAUAUGAAAAUGAGAAACUAGUUUUAAUUCUUGUAAAUAUAAUUCUUAUAUAAAUGAGGUUUUAAAUAUGUAUAUUUACAUAUAAAAUGAGAAAGACUAGGUUUUAAUUCUUGUAAAUAUAAUCUCAUUAAUAUAAUGAGUUGUCAUAUGCAUAUUAAUAUAAAAUGAGAAUACUAGGUUUUAAUUCUUGUAAAUAUAAUUCAUUAUAUAAUGAGGUUGUAAAUAUAUAUUUACAUAUGAAAAUGAGAAAACUAGGUUUUAAUUCUUGUAAAAUAUAUCUCAUUAUAUAAUGAGGUUGUAAUAUGUAUAUUUACAUAUGAAAAUGAGAAAACUAGGUUUUAAUUCUUGUAAAUAUAAUCUCAUUAUAAUGAGGUUGUAAUAUGAUAUUACAUAUGAAAAUGAGAAAUACUAGGUUUUAAUUCUUUGAAAUAUAAUCUCAUUUAUAUAAUGAGGUUUAAUAUGAUAUUACAUAUGAAAAUGAAGAAUACUAGGUUUUAAUUCUAAAUAUAUUCUCAUUUAUAUAAUGAGGUUGAUAUAUAUUAACAUAUGAAAUGAGAAAGACUAGUUUUAAUUCUUGUAAAUAUAUCUCAUUUAUAUAAUGAGGUUGUAUGUAUUAACAUAUGAAAUGAGAAAACUAGGUUUUAAUUCUUGUAAAUAUAAUCUCAUUUAUAUAAUGAGGUUGUAAUAUGUAUAUUACAUAUGAAAUGAGAAGACUAGGUUUUAAUUCUUGUAAAUAUAAUCUCAUUUAUAUAAUGAGUUGUCAUAUGCAUAUUAACAUUGAAAAGAGAAAACUAGUUUUAAUUCUUGUAAAUAUAAUCUCAUUUAUAUAAUGAGGUUGUUAUGAUUUAUUACAUAUGAAAAUGAGAAAUAUAGGUUUUAAUUCUUGUAAAUAUAAUCUCAUUUAUAUAAUGAGGUUGUAUAUGAUAUUACAAUAUGAAAAUGAGAAAACAGGUUUAAUUCUUGUAAAUAAUCUCUUAUAUAAUGAGGUUGUAAUAUGUAUAUUUACAUAUGAAAAUGAGAAACUAGGUUUUAAUUCUUGUAAAUUAAUCUCAUUUAUAUAAUGAGGUAUAUAUAUUACAUAUGAAAAUGAGAAAGACUAGGUUUUAAUUCUUGUAAAUAUAAUCUCAUUUAUAUAAUGAGGUUGUAAUAUGUAUAUUUACAUAUGAAAAUGAGAAAGACUAGGUUUAUUCUUGUAAAUAUAAUCUCAUUAUAUAAUGAGGUUGUAAUAUGCAUAUUAACAUAUGAAAAUGAGAAAGACUAGGUUUUAUUCUUGUAAUAAAUCUCUUUAUAUAAUGAGGUUGUAAUAUGUAUAUUUACAUAUGAAAAUGAGAAAACUAGGUUUUAAUUCUUGUAAAUAUAAUCUCUUAUAUAUGAGGUUGUAAAUAUGUAUAUUAACAUAUGAAAAUGAGAAAUACUAGGUUUAAUUCUUGUAAAUAUAAUCUCAUUAUAUAUAUGAGGUGUAAUAUGUAUAUUUACAUAUGAAAUGAAAACUAUGUUUAAUUCUUGUAAAUAUAAUCUCUUAUAUAAUGGGUUGUAAUAUGUAUAUUAACAUAUGAAAAUGAGAAAUACUAGGUUUAUUCGGUAAAUAUAAUCUCUUAUAUAAUGAGGUUUUAAAUAUGUAUAUUUACAUAUAAAAAUGAGAAAACUAGGUUUAAUUCUUGUAAAUAUAAUCUCAUUUAUAUAAUGAGGUUGUAUAUGAUAUUAACAUAUGAAAAUGAGAAAUACUAGGUUUAAUUCUUGUAAUAUAAUCUCAUUUUAUAAUGAGGUUUAUAGAGUAUAUUACAUAUGAAAAUGAGAAAGAUAGGUUUUAAUUCUUGUAAAUAUAAUCUAUAUUAUAUAAUGAGGUUGUAAAUAUGUAUUAUACAUAUGAAAAUGAGAAAGACUAGGUUUAUUCUUGUAAUAUAAUCUCAUUUAUAUAAUGAGGUUGUAUGUGCAUAUUAACAUAUGAAAAUGAGAAAUACUAGGUUUUAAUUCUUGUAAAUAUAAUCUCAUUAUAUAAUGAGGUUUAAUAUGUAUAUUUACAUAUAAAAUGAGAAAGUAGGUUUAUAAUUCUGUAACAUUAAUCCAUUUAUAUAAUGAGGUUGUAAAUAUGUAUAUUUACAUAUGAAAAUGAGAAAUACUAGGUUUUAAUUCUUGUAAAUAUAAUCUCAUUUAUAUAAUGAGGUUGUAAAUAUGUAUAUUUACAUAUGAAAAAGUGAAAUACUAGGUUUUAAUUCUUGUAAAUAUAAUCUCAUUUAAAUAAUGAGGUUGUAAAUAUGUAUAUUUACAUAUGAAAGUGAGAAAUACUAGGUUUUAAUUCUUGUAAAUAUAAUCUCAUGUAUAUAAUGAGGUUGUCUUAUGCAUAUUAACAUAUGAAAAUGAGAAAUACUUGGUUUUAAUUCUUGUAAAUAUAAUCUCAUGUAUAUAAUGAGGUUGUAAAUAUGUAUAUUUACAUAUGAAAAUG
rnacentral:lncRNA from 1 species